rnacentral:rRNA from 1 species
GACGAAGGAUGCAAGCGUUAUCCGGAUUCAUUGGGUUUAAAGGGAGCGUAGGUGGCCUUAUAAGUCAGUGGUGAAAUCUCUGGGCUUAACCCAGAAAUUGCCAUUGAUACUGUAGGGCUUGAGUAUAGAUGCCGUUGGCGGAAUAUGACAUGUAGUGGUGAAAUACAUAGAUAUGUCAUAGAACACCGAUUGCGAAGGCAGCUAACGAAACUAUAACUGACACUGAGGCUCGAAAGUGUGGGGAUCAAACAGG